rnacentral:rRNA from 1 species
UACGUAGGGUGCAAGCGUUAUCCGGAAUUAUUGGGCGUAAAGAGCUCGUAGGCGGUUUGUCGCGUCUGCUGUGAAAACUGGGGGCUCAACCCCCAGCCUGCAGUGGGUACGGGCAGACUAGAGUGCGGUAGGGGAGACUGGAAUUCCUGGUGUAGCGGUGAAAUGCGCAGAUAUCAGGAGGAACACCGGUGGCGAAGGCGGAUCUCUGGGCCGAUACUGACGCUGAGGAGCGAAAGCGUGGGGAGCGAACAGG